rnacentral:rRNA from 1 species
UACGUAGGGACCGAGCGUUGUCCGGAUUCAUUGGGCGUAAAGAGCUCGUAGGCGGCCACUCAAGUCGAAUGUGAAACCUCGAGGCUUAACCUCGAGCCUGCAUUCGAUACUGGGCGGCUAGAGUCUGGUAGGGGGAUCUGGAAUUCCUGGUGUAGCGGUGGAAUGCGCAGAUAUCAGGAGGAACACCGGUGGCGAAGGCGGGAUCCUGGGCCAGUACUGACGCUGAGGAGCGAAAGCGUGGGAGCA